CAAUAGCGUAUACUAAUGUUGUUGCAGUUAAAAAGCUCGUAGUUGAACUUCUGGUAGGAGUGUCCCGGCCUUUUUGUUUUUACAAAUUGUAUGCUGUGUGACAUCUCUGGCCAUCCUUCUUCUUUGUUUAAAGAAGAUCUUUCACUGUAAAAAAAUUAGGGUGUUCAAAGCAAAAGUUUCUUUGGAAUAUAUUAGUAUGGGAUGAUAAGAUAGGCUCUAGAUGCUAUUUUGUUGGUUUGCACAUUUGGAGAAUGAUUAACAGGGACAGUUGGGGGUAUUCGUAUUUACAUGUCAGAGGUGAAAUUCUUGGAUUUUGGAAAGACGAACUACUGCGAAAGCAUUUACCAAGGAUGUUUUCAUUAA
rnacentral:rRNA from 1 species